rnacentral:tRNA from 1 species
UAGCGGGAUGGAGCAGCUAGGUAGCUCGUCGGGCUCAUAACCCGAAGGUCGUAGGUUCAAAUCCUGCUCCCGCAAUC